GACGAACGCUGGCGGCGUGCUUAACGCAUGCAAGUCGAGCGGUAAGGCCCUUUCGGGGGUACACGAGCGGCGAACGGGUGAGUAACACGUGGGUGACCUGCCCUCAGCUCUGGGAUAAGCCUGGGAGACCGGGUCUAAUACUGGAUAUGACUCCAUGACGCAUGUUGUGGGGUGGAAAGCCUUGUGCGGCUGAGGAUGGGCCCGCGGCCUAUCAGCUUGUUGGUGGGGUGAUGGCCUACCAAGGCGACGACGGGUAGCCGGCCUGAGAGGGCGACCGGCCACACUGGGACUGAGACACGGCCCAGACUCCUACGGGAGGCAGCAGUGGGGAAUCUUGCGCAAUGGGCGAAAGCCUGACGCAGCGACGCCGCGUGAGGGAUGACGGCCU
rnacentral:rRNA from 1 species